GGGUUCGUGACGCAAUUGGUAGCGUGCCAGAUUCUUACUCUGUACGUUGGGAGUUCAACUCUCCCCGAACCCA
rnacentral:tRNA from 1 species